rnacentral:rRNA from 1 species
AGUUUGAAAAGAGAGUUAAACAGUACGUGAAAUUGCUGAAAGGGAAACGCUUGAAGUCAGUCGCGUCGUCCGGAACUCAGCCUUGCUUUUGCUUGGUGCACUUUCCGGUUGACGGGUCAGCAUCGAUUUUGACUGUCGGAAAAGGGCUGGAGUAAUGUGGCACCCUCGGGUGUGUUAUAGACUCUGGUCGCAUACGGCGGUCGGGAUCGAGGAACGCAGCGCGCCGUAAGGCAGGGGUUCGCCCACUUUCGCGCUUAGGAUGCUGGCAUAAUGGCUUUAAACGACCCGUCUUGAAACACGGACCAAGGAGUCUAACAUACCUGCGAGUGUUUGGGUGGAAAACCCGAGCGCGUAAUGAAAGUGAAAGUUGAGACCCCUGUCGUGGGGGGCAUCGACGCCCGGACCUGACGUUCUCUGAAGGAUCCGCGGUAGAGCAUGUAUGUUGGGACCCGAAAGAUGGUGAACUAUGCCUGAAUAGGGUGAAGCCAGAGGAAACUCUGGUGGAGGCUCGUAGCGAUUCUGACGUGCAAAUCGAUCGUCAAAUUUGGGUAUAGGGGCGAAAGACUAAUCGAACCAUCAGUCGGGCUA